rnacentral:lncRNA from 1 species
CCAAAUGGAGGUGUGGGAAAGUACAGUCUGCACAUUAAGAGUAGGCAUUGUAAUGAAUAUUUUUUUGUGAAUUCAAAUGCCAAAUGGAGGUGUGGGAAAGGACAGUUUGCACUUUAAGAGUAUGCAUUAUGGCAUCCUAAGUUACUAAAAUUUGAUUAAUAACUAAUGACCAAGAUGAAUCACAAAGUUGACUAAUAGAGG